rnacentral:rRNA from 1 species
AGUAGUCACGUAGUUUGACUUCCGUGGCUCAAGAACGAACGCUGGCGGCAUGCCUAACACAUGCAAGUCGAACGCCCUCUUCGGAGGGAGUGGCGCACGGGUGCGUAACGCGUGGGAACGUACCCUUUGCUACGGAAUAGCCUCGGGAAACUGGGAGUAAUACCGUAUGUGCCCUUCGGGGGAAAGAUUUAUCGGCAAAGGAUCGGCCCGCGUUGGAUUAGGUAGUUGGUGGGGUAAUGGCCUACCAAGCCGACGAUCCAUAGCUGGUUUGAGAGGAUGAUCAGCCACACUGGGACUGAGACACGGCCCAGACUCCUACGGGAGGCAGCAGUGGGGAAUCUUAGACAAUGGGCGCAAGCCUGAUCUAGCCAUGCCGCGUGAUCGAUGAAGGCCUUAGGGUUGUAAAGAUCUUUCAGUGGGGAAGAUAAUGACUGUACCCACAGAAGAAGCCCCGGCUAACUCCGUG